GAUCAUCUGUUUUCCUCCGUGAUCGCUGAUUCGCUAUAUAUAAGCGUACGAAGGACCCGACCCGACCCGACCCAGUUCCCCUCUCUCUCCGACAUCGUCGAUAGAGAAUGACUUUGAAGAUUUGCGGGUUGUCGGAGGGGAGACCGGCGAUGGAGGGGAAGGAGACUCGACCGAUACUUCAGGUCGUACCGUUCAACAGCUCCGCCGACGAAUUCGCUAUCGAGGAUUCUCCGAUUCCCAUCACCGGUAACACAACGACUUGUGUAUAUAUGCUUUGAUUUGCGUGUGUGUGAAUAUACAUGAGGUGCUACAAAGACAUGGCAUGAUCCGUUUGAUCGCCGAGUGUAUUUCCAAAUAUUGUCCCUUUUUCCGCUGUUCUCGCCGAUAAGAGUGUGUUGGCGUAUUUGAUCGAGGCUGGGAUUUGGUGAAGACAAGAACUCUGAACAUAUGAAAGUCACGAUCAACUUGGUAGAGAGACUGCUAUGCGCUCAUGAUCCUGGGAAUGCAGAUUUAGGGUUUCGUUACGAAUUCCACCAAUCAGUGAUUUCAGUUUGGUCGUGGUUGGAAUGCAGGUUUCUCUGCGCAAAAUUGCCUUACCAUGCCGUUUUCAUCUCCUAAUACCAAGUUCACGGCUGUUUUUGGAAUUGACUAUCAUGGCUUUUUGUCCGUUUUCUAGACAGGAAGAAGAUGGGUUUCUUAAUGACUGUCUAUGCCUUAGUGAUUUGAUCGAAUCCCAUGAUGUUAUAAGAAACAACAUGUGAUCCGCCAUGGACCUGGUCUCGGCCCCCUUCUGUCCGAUGGCCACUCUCAAACUCCAAACCAGAAAGUUCCGUAUCCAGUGAUUUGCAAAAUCUCAGACAUUACCAAAACGGAAAGACACAGGCUUGGCUUUUACUUCUGCAAUGAUGUUGUUUUUGGAUGGAUUGCUUUGUUUAUUACCUGUCACGUUACAUCUGGUUUGGUCCUCAUCUACUUCGAUCUUCCUUUUCGCAGUCAAUUACCGAUCGGACUCUAGACCAUCACCAGCAACAACAACAAUGUCGGGUCUUGCUCCUAGCCGGAGCUCUUGCUGCUGAACUCUUAGCAGGCAUCCUGAAACACCCUCUUGGGAUCUAAUGCGGAGGAGGGAGAGAACAACUCUAGAAGUGGUGGAGAACAGUGAUGUUCCUAUCGGGAUCUUGCCUCACCGGAUCCGAGGUUCACUCUCUCUGUUCUGUCUCAGAUCCAUCGACCAUCCAAACGUACCUGGAAGAUCUGACUGGUCGAACUCAGCUUAAGACAGAUGUAAAAUGAUGAUAUUGAUGACAAUGAUAAAUGUUAUGAGGAUGGAGCAGAAUCUAAGUAAGAAGAUUGCAGAGAUUGAGCGGUAUUCUCAAUCUCCCAAUGGUACUUGUCUUGAAGCUGGUAGGGGAUAAAUCUUGUGUGAAGUUGUUUCUCUGUCUUGUAGGAUUUAGGGCAGAGUCUCCUAACAAGUGAUGUCCUGUUCUUGUAGAGGAGAUAGUUUACCAUAUAACAAUGAUAAAACCAUAGGUGCAUGAGAAA